rnacentral:tRNA from 1 species
GAGUGGCUGGGCUGCUUCGGCCUGACCGAGCCCUCGAGCGGCUCGGACGCGGGCUCCUUGAAGACCCGCGCCGUGCUCGACGGCGACCACUAC